ACUGAGACACGGCCCAGACUCCUAACGGGAGGCAGCAGUGGGGGAAUAUUGCGCAAUGGGCGGAAAGCCUGAAGCGAGCGACGCCGCGUGGGGGAUGACGGCCUUCGGGUUGUAAACCUCUUUCGCCAGGGACGAAGAGCAAUUGACGGUACCUGGAGAAGAACGACCGGCCAACUACGUGCCACGAGCCGCGGUAACACGUAGGGUGCGAGCGUUGUCCGGAAUUAUUGGGCGUAAAGAGCUCGUAGGCGGUGUGUCGCGUCGGCCGUGAAAACUUGGGGCUUAACUCUGAGCGUGCGGUCGAUACGGGCAUCACUUGAGUUCGGCAGGGGAGACUGGAAUUCCUGGUGUAGCGGUGAAAUGCGCAGAGAUCAGGAGGAAGACCGGUGGCGAAGGCGGGCUCUGGGCCGAUACUGACGCUGAGGAGCGAAAGCGUGGGGAGCGAACAGGAUUAGAUACCCUGGUAGUCCACGCCGUAAACGUUGGGCGCUAGGUGUGGGGACCAUU
rnacentral:rRNA from 1 species